rnacentral:rRNA from 1 species
UCUGGCGGCAGUAGCGCGGUGGUCCCACCUGACCCCAUGCCGAACUCAGAAGUGAAACGCCGCAGCGCCGAUGGUAGUGUGGGGUCUC